rnacentral:tRNA from 1 species
GUACUUAUGGUGUAGUGGUUAUCAGAUCUGUCUUACACAUAGAAGGUCCCAGGUUCGAUCCCUGGUUAGCACA